rfam:Myceliophthora thermophila ATCC 42464 chromosome 1, complete sequence.
AGAGAAUUGGCUGAGCGGUCUAAAGCGGCUGUCUUGAGUACAGUUAUAGGGCUGUCCCCCAUCAAGGGUUCGAAUCCCUUAUUCUCUG